rnacentral:rRNA from 1 species
AGUGAACGCUGGCGGUAGGCCUAACACAUGCAAGUCGAACGGCAGCACAGGAGAGCUUGCUCUCUGGGUGGCGAGUGGCGGACGGGUGAGGAAUACAUCGGAAUCUACUCUGUCGUGGGGGAUAACGUAGGGAAACUUACGCUAAUACCGCAUACGACCUACGGGUGAAAGCAGGGGACCUUCGGGCCUUGCGCGAUUGAAUGAGCCGAUGUCGGAUUAGCUAGUUGGCGGGGUAAAGGCCCACCAAGGCGACGAUCCGUAGCUGGUCUGAGAGGAUGAUCAGCCACACUGGAACUGAGACACGGUCCAGACUCCUACGGGAGGCAGCAGUGGGGAAUAUUGGACAAUGGGCGCAAGCCUGAUCCAGCCAUACCGCGUGGGUGAAGAAGGCCUUCGGGUUGUAAAGCCCUUUUGUUGGGAAAGAAACCCAGCUGGCUAAUACCCGGUUGGGACGACGGUACCCAAAGAAUAAGCACCGGCUAACUUCGUGCCAGCCGCCGCGGUAA